rnacentral:rRNA from 1 species
UAUACCGUGAACUGCGAAUGGCUCAUUAAAUCAGUUAUCGUUUAUUUGAUAGUACCUUACUACUUGGAUAACCGUGGUAAUUCUAGAGCUAAUACAUGCUAAAAACCCCAACUUCGGGAGGGGUGUAUUUAUUAGAUAAAAAACCAAUGCCCUUCGGGGCUCCUUGGUGAUUCAUGAUAACUUCUCAGAUCGCAUGGCUUUACGCCGGCGACGGUUCAUUCAAAUUUCUGCCCUAUCAACUUUCGAUGGUAAGGUAGUGGCUUACCAUGGUUUCAACGGGUAACGGGGAAUUAGGGUUCGAUUCCGGAGAGGGAGCCGGAGGAACGGCUACCACAUCCAAGGAAGGCAGCAGGCGCGCAAAUUACCCAAUUCCGAUACGGAGAGGUAGUGACAAUAAAUACUGAUACAGGGCUCUUUUGGGUCUUGUAAUUGGAAUGAGUACAAUUUAAACCUCUUAACGAGGAACAAUUGGAGGGCAAGUCUGGUGCCAGCAGCCGCGGUAAUUCCAGCUCCAAUAGCGUAUAUUAAAGUUGUUGCAGUUAAAAAGCUCGUAGUUGAACCUUUGGCCUGGCUGGCAGGUCCGCCUCACCGCGUGCACUUGUCCGGCCGGGCCUUUUCUUCUGGAGAACCGCAUGCCCUUCACUGGGUGUGUUGGGGACCAGGACUUUUACUUUGAAAAAAUUAGAGUGUUCAAAGCAGGCCUUUGCUCGAAUACGUUAGCAUGGAAUAAUAGAAUAGGACGUGCGGUCCUAUUUUGUUGGUUUCUAGGACCGCCGUAAUGAUUAAUAGGGACAGUCGGGGGCAUCAGUAUUCAAUUGUCAGAGGUGAAAUUCUUGGAUUUAUUGAAGACUAACUACUGCGAAAGCAUUUGCCAAGGAUGUUUUCAUUAAUCAGUGAACGAAAGUUAGGGGAUCGAAGACGAUCAGAUACCGUCGUAGUCUUAACCAUAAACUAUGCCGACUAGGGAUCGGGCGGUGUUUCUAUUGUGACCCGCUCGGCACCUUACGAGAAAUCAAAGUG